GCCCAACCUGUACUGGCAUUCCCAUACCAAAGUCAACUCUCUCUAACCCUAGCCUUGACCAUUGAGACGUGAUCAACACCCCUACUGAGUCUGGACUCGCUCUUUUCUGACUCACAGAUUCGAUCACCGAUCUCACGCAUUCGUUGUCCACUCUUUCUUUUGCUCUCUUUAUCAACGUUGAUGCGUACCCUAUACCCUUCUCUGUUAAAUCUUUAACGCUUGUUUGUGCACAGCCAAGAACGAAGGCGUUGCCAUAGUAUCCACUUGGUAGACUCGGCUUGACUCGG
rnacentral:misc_RNA from 1 species